rfam:Mucispirillum schaedleri ASF457 genomic scaffold acYAd-supercont1.2, whole genome shotgun sequence.
UUUGGUGGUCAUAGAGGGAAAGUAACACCUGUUCCCAUACCGAACACAGCAGUGAAGGGUCCCAUCGCCAAAUGUACUUAGUGAAGAUAACACUUGGGAGAAUAGGCCGCCGCCAAAG